CACGUAGGCACCAAGCGUUGUCCGGAUUUAUUGGGCGUAAAGGGCUCGUAGGCGGUUCGGUAAGUCGGGUGUGAAAACUCUGGGCUCAACCCAGAGCCUGCAUCCGAAACUGGAGUGCUAGAGUUCUGGAGGGGGUAGCGGAAUUCCUGGUGUAGCGGUGAAAUGCGCAGAUAUCAGGAAGAACACCAAUGGCGAAAGCAGCUCUCUGGGACGGUACUGACGCUGAGACGCGAAAGCGUGGGGAGCGAACAGG
rnacentral:rRNA from 1 species